AAAUAAGAAGCUUAGUAGCAAUUAGUUUCGACCUAAUCUCAUGGUAUUAAAUUACCCUUAUUUU
rnacentral:tRNA from 1 species